CACACUAUCAUUAACUGAAUCCAUAGGUUAAUGAGGCGAACCGGGGGAACUGAAACAUCUAAGUACCCCGAGGAAAAGAAAUCAACCGAGAUUCCCCCAGUAGCGGCGAGCGAACGGGGAGGAGCCCAGAGCCUGAAUCAGUGUGUGUGUUAGUGGAAGCGUCUGGAAAGGCGCGCGAUACAGGGUGACAGCCCCGUACACAAAAAUGCACAUGCUGUGAGCUCGAUGAGUAGGGCGGGACACGUGGUAUCCUGUCUGAAUAUGGGGGGACCAUCCUCCAAGGCUAAAUACUCCUGACUGACCGAUAGUGAACCAGUACCGUGAGGGAAAGGCGAAAAGAACCCCGGCGAGGGGAGUGAAAAAGAACCUGAAACCGUGUACGUACAAGCAGUGGGAGCCUCUUAAUGGGGUGACUGCGUACCUUUUGUAUAAUGGGUCAGCGACUUAUAUUCUGUAGCAAGGUUAACCGAAUAGGGGAGCCGAAGGGAAACCGAGUCUUAACUGGGCGUUAAGUUGCAGGGUAUAGACCCGAAACCCGGUGAUCUAGCCAUGGGCAGGUUGAAGGUUGGGUAACACUAACUGGAGGACCGAACCGACUAAUGUUGAAAAAUUAGCGGAUGACUUGUGGCUGGGGGUGAAAGGCCAAUCAAACCGGGAGAUAGCUGGUUCUCCCCGAAAGCUAUUUAGGUAGCGCCUCGUGAAUUCAUCUCCGGGGGUAGAGCACUGUUUCGGCAAGGGGGUCAUCCCGACUUACCAACCCGAUGCAAACUGCGAAUACCGGAGAAUGUUAUCACGGGAGACACACGGCGGGUGCUAACGUCCGUCGUGAAGAGGGAAACAACCCAGACCGCCAGCUAAGGUCCCAAAGUCAUGGUUAAGUGGGAAACGAUGUGGGAAGGCCCAGACAGCCAGGAUGUUGGCUUAGAAGCAGCCAUCAUUUAAAGAAAGCGUAAUAGCUCACUGGUCGAGUCGGCCUGCGCGGAAGAUGUAACGGGGCUAAACCAUGCACCGAAGCUGCGGCAGCGACACUAUGUGUUGUUGGGUAGGGGAGCGUUCUGUAAGCCUGUGAAGGUGGCCUGUGAGGGUUGCUGGAGGUAUCAGAAGUGCGAAUGCUGACAUAAGUAACGAUAAAGCGGGUGAAAAGCCCGCUCGCCGGAAGACCAAGGGUUCCUGUCCAACGUUAAUCGGGGCAGGGUGAGUCGACCCCUAAGGCGAGGCCGAAAGGCGUAGUCGAUGGGAAACAGGUUAAUAUUCCUGUACUUGGUGUUACUGCGAAGGGGGGACGGAGAAGGCUAUGUUGGCCGGGCGACGGUUGUCCCGGUUUAAGCGUGUAGGCUGGUUUUCCAGGCAAAUCCGGAAAACCAAGGCUGAGGCGUGAUGACGAGGCACUACGGUGCUGAAG
rnacentral:rRNA from 1 species